GGUCAAGCGAACAAGUGCAUGUGGUGGAUGCCUUGGCGAUCACAGGCGAUGAAGGACGCGGUAGCCUGCGAAAAGCCCCGGGGAGCUGGCAAACAAGCUUUGAUCCGGGGAUGUCCGAAUGGGGAAACCCACUCCGUAUGGAGUAUCCAUGACUGAAUACAUAGGUCAUGCGAAGCGAACGCGGUGAACUGAAACAUCUAAGUAACCGCAGGAAAAGAAAUCAACCGAGAUUCCCAAAGUAGUGGCGAGCGAAAUGGGAUGAGCCUUGUACUCUUUAUUUGUAUUGUUAGCCGAACGCUCUGGAAAGUGCGGCCAUAGCAGGUGAUAGCCCUGUAGGCGAAACCAGUAUGAAAGAACUAGGUGUACGACAAGUAGGGCGGGACACGUGAAAUCCUGUCUGAAGAUGGGGGGACCAUCCUCCAAGGCUAAAUACUCGUGAUCGACCGAUAGUGAACCAGUACCGUGAGGGAAAGGCGAAAAGAACCCCGGGAGGGGAGUGAAAUAGAUCCUGAAACCGCAUGCAUACAAACAGUCGGAGCCUCGCAAGGGGUGACGGCGUACCUUUUGUAUAAUGGGUCAGCGACUUACGUUCAGUAGCAAGCUUAACCGUAUAGGGCAGGCGUAGCGAAAGCGAGUCCGAAUAGGGCGUUCAGUUGCUGGGCGUAGACCCGAAACCAGGUGAUCUAUCCAUGGCCAGGAUGAAGGUGCGGUAACACGUACUGGAGGUCCGAACCCACUAACGUUGAAAAGUUAGGGGAUGAGCUGUGGAUAGGGGUGAAAGGCUAAACAAACCUGGAAAUAGCUGGUUCUCUCCGAAAACUAUUUAGGUAGUGCCUCGUGUCUCACCUUCGGGGGUAGAGCACUGUCAUGGUUGGGGGGUCUAUUGCAGAUUACCCCGCCAUAGCAAACUCCGAAUACCGAAGAGUGCAAUCACGGGAGACAGACAUCGGGUGCUAACGUCCGGUGUCAAGAGGGAAACAACCCAGACCGCCAGCUAAGGUCCCCAAAUAUGGCUAAGUGGGAAACGAAGUGGGAAGGCUAAAACAGUCAGGAGGUUGGCUUAGAAGCAGCCACCCUUUAAAGAAAGCGUAAUAGCUCACUGAUCGAGUCGUCCUGCGCGGAAGAUGUAACGGGGCUAAGCCAUAUACCGAAGCUGCGGAUGCGUGCUUGCACGCAUGGUAGGAGAGCGUUCCGUAAGCCUGCGAAGGUGCCUUGUAAAGGGUGCUGGAGGUAUCGGAAGUGCGAAUGCUGACAUGAGUAGCGAUAAAGGGGGUGAAAGGCCCCCUCGCCGUAAGCCCAAGGUUUCCUACGCAACGUUCAUCGGCGUAGGGUGAGUCGGCCCCUAAGGCGAGGCAGAAAUGCGUAGCUGAUGGGAAGCAGGUCAAUAUUCCUGCACCGUCGUUAGAUGCGAUGGGGGGACGGAUCGCGGAAGGUUGUCCGGGUGUUGGAAGUCCCGGUCGCUGCAUUGGAGAAGGCGCUUAGGCAAAUCCGGGCGCGGAAUUCAAGGGUGUGGCGCGAGCUCCUUCGGGAGCGAAGCAAUUGGAAGUGGUUCCAAGAAAAGCCUCUAAGCUUCAGUCUAACGAUGACCGUACCGCAAACCGACACAGGUGGGCGAGAUGAGUAUUCUAAGGCGCUUGAGAGAACUCGGGAGAAGGAACUCGGCAAAUUGGUACCGUAACUUCGGGAUAAGGUACGCCCUUGUAGCUUG
rfam:Burkholderia sp. TJI49 contig042, whole genome shotgun sequence.